rnacentral:rRNA from 1 species
UACGAAGGGGCUAGCGUUGCUCGGAAUCACUGGGCGUAAAGCGCACGUAGGCGGCUUUUUAAGUCAGAGGUGAAAUCCUGGAGCUCAACUCCAGAACUGCCUUUGAUACUGGAGAGCGUGAGUCCGGGAGAGGUGAGUGGAACUGCGAGUGUAGAGGUGAAAUUCGUAGAUAUUCGCAAGAACACCAGUGGCGAAGGCGGCUCACUGGCCCGGUACUGACGCUGAGGUGCGGAAAGCGUGGGAGCAACAGG